AUUGAACGCUGGCGGCAGGCCUAACACAUGCAAGUCGAACGAGUGGCGGACGGGUGAGUAAUGUCUGGGAAACUGCCUGAUGGAGGGGGAUAACUACUGGAAACGGUAGCUAAUACCGCAUACCAUCAGAUGUGCCCAGGUGGGAUUAGCGUGUGGGUGGGGUAACGGCGCACCAGGGCGACGAUCCCUAGCAGGUCUGAGAGGAUGACCGGCCACACUGGAACUGAGACACGGUCCAGACUCCUACGGGAGGCAGCAGUAGGGAAUCUUCGGCAAUGGACGAAAGCCUGAACGAGCCAUGCCGCGUGUAUGAAGAAGGUUUUCGGGUUGUAAAGCUCUGUUGGUGGAGAGGCGGUACCUGCAGAAGAAGCACCGGCUAACUACGUGCCAGCAGCCGCGGUAAUUC
rnacentral:rRNA from 1 species